rfam:Echinostoma caproni strain Egypt genome assembly, scaffold: ECPE_scaffold0001043
GGCUUGCAAUACAAACCUAAAAGAGUUGUGAGGGUCAGCUGACCCUCACAACUCUUUUAGGUUUGUAUUGCAAGCCA